rnacentral:rRNA from 1 species
UACGAGGGGGGCAAGCGUUGUCCGGAAUCACUGGGCGUAAAGGGCGCGUAGGCGGCUCAUGAAGCUGUGGUGAAAGUCCGGGGCUCAACCUCGGAUCGGCCGUGGCGACUCGUGGGCUGGAGCACUGUAGAGGCGGGUGGAAUUCCGGGUGUAGCGGUGGAAUGCGUAGAGAUCCGGAAGAACACCAGUGGCGAAGGCGGCCCGCUGGGCAGUGGCUGACGCUGAGGCGCGACAGCGUGGGGAGCAAACAGG